AACAUUUGAUUUAAUGAAGAUGAAAAUACAUUAUUUUAACAUGGCCGCACACGAUGAAAAUAAAUGUAUUAUUAAGGUUGUUUUAAGAGGAAAAAAAUAUUGAAGAUACGAGUAAACCUUAUGGAUUAAUAAAAAAAAGUAUUGAAAAAUGAGAAAAAAGUGUAAAGGAAAAGAAAUAAAAAAAAUACAGAAUUAAGGACCAAGAAAACAAUACACACGCAGAAAAGAAAUAAAAGAUAAAAUUACAUAAACAAGAAGCAAGAAAACAAUAUAUAUAUAUAUAGAGAGAGGUCAUGUAAAAGGUCAUGAGUUUUUCAUAAACAGAGGUCUUAUUUGUUAAAUUUGAGUACCA
rnacentral:lncRNA from 1 species